rnacentral:tRNA from 1 species
GCGGGCGUGGCGGAACUGGUAGACGCGCCAGGUUUAGGUCCUGGUGAGUUCGCUCGUGGAGGUUCGAGUCCUCUCGCCCGCACCA